rnacentral:rRNA from 1 species
GACGAACGCUGGCGGCGUGCCUAAUACAUGCAAGUAGAACGCUGAAGGAGGAGCUUGCUCUUCUGGAUGAGUUGCGAACGGGUGAGUAACGCGUAGGUAACCUGCCUGGUAGCGGGGGAUAACUAUUGGAAACGAUAGCUAAUACCGCAUAACAGUAGAUGUUGCAUGACAUUUACUUAAAAGGUGCAAUUGCAUCACUACCAGAUGGACCUGCGUUGUAUUAGCUAGUUGGUGGGGUAACGGCUCACCAAGGCGACGAUACAUAGCCGACCUGAGAGGGUGAUCGGCCACACUGGGACUGAGACACGGCCCAGACUCCUACGGGAGGCAGCAGUAGGGAAUCUUCGGCAAUGGACGGAAGUCUGACCGAGCAACGCCGCGUGAGUGAAGAAGGUUUUCGGAUCGUAAAGCUCUGUUGUAAGAGAAGAACGAGUGUGAGAGUGGAAAGUUCACACUGUGACGGUAUCUUACCAGAAAGAGACGGCUAACUACGUG